rnacentral:rRNA from 1 species
UUCCGGUUGAUCCUGCCGGAGGCUACUGCUAUUGGAAUUCGACUAAGCCAUGCGAGUCAAGGUGUCUUCGGACGCCGGCAUACGGCUCAGUAACACGUAGGUAACCUACCCUCAGGACUGAGAUAACCCCGGGAAACUGGGGCUAAUAUUAGAUAGAUAAAAGAUACUGGAAUGUUCUUUUAUCCAAAGCUUUUGCGCCUGAGGAUGGGCCUGCGCCCGAUUAGGUUGUUGGUGGGGUAAUGGCCCACCAAGCCUACGAUCGGUACGGGCAGUGGGAGCUGAAGCCCGGAGUUGGGGACUGAGACAAGGCCCCAGGCCCUACGGGGCGCAGCAGGCGCGAAACCUCUGCAAUGCGGGAAACCGUGACAGGGGGAUUCCAAGUGCUCAUGCAUUGCAUGGGCUGUUCUUUGGUCUAAGUAACCAGAGGAGUAAGGGCUGGGCAAGACCGGUGCCAGCCGCCGCGGUAAUACCGGCAGCUCAAGUGGUAGCCGCGAUUAUUGGGCCUAAAACGUUCGUAGCCGGAUAAGUAAGUCUUUGGUUAAAUCCUGCGACUUAACCGUGGGAAAUCUAGAGAUGCUGCUUGUCUUGAGACCGGGAGAGGUUGGAGGUACUCCCAGGGUAGGGGUGAAAUCCUGUAAUCCUGGGGGGACCACCUGUGGCGAAGGCGUCCAACUGGAACGGGUCUGACGGUGAGGGACGAAACCUAGGGGAGCGAGCCGGAUUAGAUACCCGGGUAGUCCUAGGCGUAAAUGAUGCGAGUUAAGUGUGGGGGCAUCCACGAGAUGGCCCUGUGCUGUAGGGUAGCCGUUAAACUCGCUGCCUGGGGAGUACGGUCGCAAGGCUGAAACUUAAAGGAAUUGGCGGGGGAGCACCACAAGAGGUGGAA